rnacentral:lncRNA from 1 species
CGUGAUCCCCCCACCUCGGCCUCUCAAAGUGCUGGGAUUACAGGUGUGAGCUACCGCACCGGGCCGUCCCUCUCCUUCUAAUCCUCCUCCAUUCCCUUCCUGAGUCGAGGCUUCUGCUGAAGAGCCCUUACUGGAGAUCAGCAUCCUGUGAUCCUGAGCAUCCAUGAGACAUAUGCACCUCUAACCUCCCUUGGAAAGGGUUUACAUAGGAUUGAACGGAGGGAGAGUUACUAUUGUUUUUACUUCUUCUCUAAGCCAUGUUUUCUGUCGCACACACCAGAUUUCAGUGGCUUGCCUUCUGUGAAUAGAAAUUUGUCAGACACUUAUUUUGUUGAUUUAGUUCUGUUGGUAAACACUGGAGCACAGUCUCGUAGUCAUCUCUCGGAGUUAGAACUGUCAGCUACUAGGAGCUAAAAAAAAAGAGGGACUCCUAGGCAUACUGCCAUUCAACAGAAUCUCUUUCUUUAUUCUAAGAGUUCAAAAAAUAUGGUGCAGCCAGAUUUUUUCUUUUUCACAGAGUUAAGUAUAAUCCAGCUAAAAAUAGUGCCAUGUUUUAAUAUCUGUAACCUAGAAUUUUUAUCCACGCAAAAAUAUUUUCACUUAUAGCCGUUUGUGUAAACUUUGCUUAAGGAAAUUAAUUAAUAGAUAUAUGAGUACUUAAUUUUAAAUGUGAAUCUCCAUAAAUAAAAACAUAUUUUCAUUGGCUAAUAAAAUUCCCUCAUCCCCUCAAUUACUUUGCUCUCUCCAGUGUAAAUCCUUUUUAGGAAAAAUGGGAUGACAGCUGGCAUUAUUUGGUCUCCGUUAUGUGCAUGGCUGACUGAUAAGCAAUUUACACACAUUCUCCUCUUCAGGUCUUAUAAGAAACUUAUGUCUCUCUUAGAGAGACAUAUUAUCUCCAUUUUCCUAAGAAGAAUACAGAUUUGGGGGAUUAAGUAACAUUUCAAAGAUCACAUAGAAAAAUGUCAAUGCUGGAAUUUGAGCUAUGGUCGAUCUAAUUUUAAAAGUCUACUUCUAGAUUUGUAAAAUUUAAUCUAUCCUUGACACAUGCAUGGAACAGAAGACUCUUCCUCUAGCACUGGCAGAGGAAAGGAUUAGAAUAAUGAGAUAACUUUCUACAAUAUGUAAAACCAUGUACACCUAACAACACAUCAACAAUCAUACAAUUGAAAAUGUGGUUUAAUCGUAGCUGUAGAUAUGUUUUGUCAUAAGUGAGACCUACACUUCAAUAGCAACAAUAAAAAUGAAUUAAUAUUUAGAAUAUAAAUUCUGGCACAUACACCACAUCUUCUUUAAAAUUCAUUGAAUAUAUUGAAAUAAAACCAGUCAUGUAAAAUGACUUAAUGAUGAACUUAUGGAAUAUCCUAUAGUUCUCAGUGUAUGUUUAGAACUUUCUGGUGUUCCAAUCUUACCAUAGACCAGGGGCUUACAGCCUGUGCCUGGUCCCAUCAGGACCCAACAGGUGGAUGUUCGAUAUUAUCUUCUCUUUUAGGUCACUUGCCAAUCAGGAAGUUAAACAAUGACCUAUGUUCUUCAUAUAAGAAAGCAGAACAUUCCGGGCCUUUAAUGUUUCAAAAACUUCUCUGUAUUGGCCUAGAGGCUUCUCUUACUUGGACUUUUACAGUGGCUUGAGGUCAUAGUUUUGGGAUGCAAACACAUAACAUUCACUUCCAACUUCUGACUCCAUUUAUAUUUCUCAUCUAUUUAUUUCUGCCCUGGUUCUUGUCUGACAUCUUGAUUUUGGCACCAAAUUAGUUCUUCAUAAGAAUGAAUCUAAAAGUAGGCCCUGCUGUUUAUUCUAAGUUUUUCUUAAAUCCUCUGAUUUUCUUCCUAGGUAUGUCUCCAUAUAUUUAACUAUAAGCAGUCCUUUUUCAGCACAUUAUAUUGGUGCUUAUAAUAUGUUAUCAGAAGAAUAGUUUUUGCUGCAUGUCAUAAAAACCUGGAUUCCAACAGUCUUAAACUAUCCAUUAUUCCACAUAGCAGGAGAUCCAGAGAAAAUGCAGGCUUCAAGUUUGGUUGACCUGGUGAUGUCAUCAACGAUCCAGGAUCAUUUCAUCUCUUCUCAGCCAUUCUCAGUUUAGGCUCCAUUUUCAGGCUGGUGGAAAUAUAGCUGCAGCAGUUCAAGUUUUCUAAUUCUGACACAAUAUCUAGAAGGGAAGAGACCAUCCUUUUCUGGAGGUCUCUCUUUGAGCCAAGGAAAUGUUUCUUGAAGGUCCCUGCAGACUUCCUCACACAUCUCAUUGGUCAUAUGCCCAGGCUUGAAACCACUCACUGGCAAGAGGAAUGAAUCUGCAAUGAUUCAGGUCAGUCACCUGGGUGGAGUGAAUGUGGGGGAAUCAGCCACAAUAUUCACAUGUAGUGAAUUUCUUCCAAAUAUGUUAUAAAUAGUGAUGAUGUUGGCAUACUAUUUGGUUGUGUGCAUAGUGCCAUGACACUGGUCUGUUGAAAACAAAGAAAUAUUUUACGUGGUGUAAUAUGUUGCAGGAUCUUGGGGGCAAAACUACAAAGUAUUUUUGAUGCAAUGUUCCUGUUAUAUUUACAGAACCUACUACAUGCUGGAGUUCUCUGAUACAAUGCUAAUAAAUUUAUCCAAAGCUAAAAUUUGAAUGAAUUGUAUUAGCUGCUUCAUCCUUAUAGAAUAAGAUUGCAUCCUUUCAAUAAUGGGUGUAAUACCAUAUUAAGUGAUGCAUUUCACUGUUGCUGGCUAUGCAGGAUAUGCUAAGAGACUGUGAUUCUGGUUUUCCCAGCAUUGAUAGAUCAUUCACCUCCAUAUCACCUAAAAGAAGAAAGUUAAAGGCAGCAGUAUAUUUAUUUGUUGAGGGUUGUCACCGUGUUCCCUUUCCUUGCUGUGGGUGAGUGGAAGGAAGCUGCAAGAAGACCACUCACAGAGCUUGGCAUAUGCCCAUUAGUAUUCGGAGGAGGAAGCGACUGGUACCUGAUGCCUACCUGAAAAUGUCUAAUGGGAAAGAUCUGGCCAACCACUCUGAAGGCAGAGCAAGAGGAGUGUACUACAUUCAGAGGAAGCCACUCUUCUACCAAAAGCAAGGACAAGACUUCGAAUCAUCCCUGACACCAGAGAACACUAAAUGACAGUGGACAGGCAGACAGUGUACCUUUUGCUCCUGAUGGUCAUAAGAACCACCUCCUUCUUCUUAUUGUGAAGUGCAAGGUGCAAAAAGGAGGCCUGCCUGCUCCUUGUUCAGGACUAUGUCAGCAUUGUGGCUCAGAAGUGCAAAGGCUUUGGCAUGGCCUUCCCUUGCAGCAAAGUGAAGUGCAGUGUUCUUUUGAAGAAACGGACACAGAAAAUGUGGUGACAAUGCCUAAUCUGCUUUGUUUCAUGGCUGAACUGCCUAAAAGACAUUUGCAACACUAAUGAUUUAAUACCAAAAUACAUAGCAUUUAAAACUGG